rnacentral:rRNA from 1 species
CUACGGGUGGCUGCAGCUAUGAAUUUUUUACAAUGCGCGAAAGCGUGAUAGGGCGAACCAAAGUGUUUCUCAUUGAGAAACUUUUGUCAACUGUAAAUAUGUUGAUGAAUAAGGACUGGGAAAGAUCGGUGCCAGCCGCCGCGGUAAUACCGACAGUUCAAGUGGCAACCGACAUUAUUGGGUCUAAAACAUCCGUAGCUUGUUUAGUAAGUCUCUUGUGAAAUCUCACGUCUCAAGCGUGGGGCGGGCAAGAGAUACUACUAGGCUAGAGACCGGUAGGCGUAAUGAGUACAUCAGAGGUAGUGGUUAAAUACGUUAAUCUUUGGUGGACUAACGAUCAGCGAAGGCACGUUACGAGGACGGAUCUGACAGUGAGGGAUGAAGGCCAGGGGCGCAAAACGGAUUAGAUACCCGCGUAGUC